rnacentral:rRNA from 1 species
AUUGAACGCUGGCGGAAUGCUUUACACAUGCAAGUCGAACGGCAGCACGGGGCAACCUGGUGGCGAGUGGCGAACGGGUGAGUAAUACAUCGGAACGUGCCCAAUCGUGGGGGAUAACGUAGCGAAAGUUACGCUAAUACCGCAUACGAUCUACGGAUGAAAGCGGGGGAUCGCAAGACCUCGCGCGAGUGGAGCGGCCGAUGUCAGAUUAGGUAGUUGGUGGGGUAAAGGCUCACCAAGCCAACGAUCUGUAGCUGGUCUGAGAGGACGACCAGCCACACUGGAACUGAGACACGGUCCAGACUCCUACGGGAGGCAGCAGUGGGGAAUUUUGGACAAUGGGCGCAAGCCUGAUCCAGCCAUUCCGCGUGCAGGAUG